rnacentral:lncRNA from 1 species
GCUCUUUUCUUACUGCACUGAGGAGUGGAGACACCCCUAGGCGACCUUGAAAACCACAUGCUGCAGAAGGCAAAGCCCCUCUCUACCUGUGUCUCUGAAUGAAUGCAUGAAAGACAGUUGCCCCACUGACCUGUACUGUUACAUGAGCAAGAAAUAAACUAUUGUGUUUGAGCCAUUAUAGAUUUGGGGUUCUAUUAUAACAAUUAGCCUAUCCUAAUAUCCUUUUUAAUAUAGCUGUAAUCAUUGUGUACAGAAAUCUCUGUGCCCUUUCCCCUUUUCUUUGAAUCUUACCACAAACUAAAAAAGGAGAAUUGGGAGACUUAAAUUUAAGUAGCUGUUGGGGACAAAUGACACUUACCAAAUUAGUGGUCACAACAUUCAGAUCUUAGAGCCAGAAGAACAGGACUACAGCAGAGCCUCACUUCAAGACAACCUAAUAUAUUAAAGUAAAACAAAAAGUAAAACAUAAGGCCUAUAAAACAGAUAUUUUAGUGUGUGAUAGUUAAUUUCCAAAGGGAGUUGUCCAUUUACAAAGGAAUAUGCCACUGUUUUCCAGUAAAUGACAAGCUUCCUUACUGCCUUUAAAAUGAGACUUACGCCUCCCCGCUCCCAGUCAUUUUAACAUAGAAUUUCUGAAGAACAGAUCUCCCCUGGUACGUCAGCUAUACGAAGACUAGAUGCUGACUCAGGGGAUGACUUAGAAGCCGGGAAAAUCAGGGUAUGAUUUCUAUGCCUACGUGCUGUUCUCAUGUAUGUGUCAAAACUUUUCUCUUGGGAACUUAACUUUCUUGGGUAGGAACUUCCAGAGGUCGUGAAAUUAUAGGCUUUGUAAAGAACUAUGAGUUUUUAGACAAAGUUAAAACAGACACAUUGUGUCUUUGUGCUUAAUAUCAUCCCAGAUACGAUGGCACAAGUAGGAAUGAAAAUAAGUCCUCUGUAAACAGGGCGAUAAGAUAAUGGAGGUUCAUACACAGAACAAUCAGAAACGUGCUCAGUAAAGGCAGCACAAUUAUGUACAUCUUUUUACCAGGGCUGUCAUAUUUUACCAGGUUAAGUGUGAAAAUACCAUUUGAUGGCACAGGACACGUAUUUGCCUAGAACAGGGUUUAUUUUUAUGUCUGAUCGCUCAGUAUAAGAUCUAGGAAGCAAACAAUCCAGAACUCUGAACAAACAUUCUGACAGCCUGAAACGGAAUACUCAGGUGAGGGGAGGAAGAGGAGGCAAAACAAGAGGGUUGACAGGGAAAGGCAUCAGUUGGGCUGUUCUCCCCAGGGUUUCCGUCUUAGUAUUGUUUUUUUUUUUUUUUUUUGCAUUCUUUUCUGAUCCUGUGGAGAGAGAUAUCAGAUCCCUUUGGGGCCGUAUUUAGAGGGUCUCCCAAAUGCAGUCCCUACUCCCAACUCUGGGCUGGGGCUUGGCAAGCUGUAGGCGUCAGGGAACAAGAUGGCGCCCUACGGUGAAGGGCGCUGAGUGAGGGGGGGCCAAAAGUGGGCCUUCACUUACUCGGAGGCGCUGGCUCCUCUGAAACCCAGACGCUGUCAACUCCCUGGGCCCAGGAGUCACAACCGCUUUCGUGCUCUGGGUUCUUCACUUCUUGUGAUCAGCUCCACAUAUUUUUCUGAUGAUGUCACCCAUUCUGACUUCCUACAUUUUGAAAGUUGAUCUACAAGUAAAAUCUUUCGUGAGGCUUAAAAAAAAGAAGAAAAGAAAUAAAAGGUGUGCUAUAGGGAGAUGGAGAGGAAGAGAAAGGCCGUUGCCUCUUUAUUUUGAGAUUUGCUGCAGCUGCGAGUGCCACUCCCCAACUAGUUUCCUGGCUUCAGAGGGAGGCCAGUGGCCGGGCGUGGGUGACGUCAGGGCCAGGCCUGAGUCAUCGCCAGCAGCCCGGGCCGGGCUGCCCUGCCACUCGGAAGGGGACAAAAGGAACCUUUGAUGUCCAGAGGCCCUCCUCUCAGCACACUCGCCGGCACAGACCAGCAGGCCAGGAGAACAUUCCUGCCGUCUCCCCACCCCCAGCCGCCCUUCCUA